rnacentral:rRNA from 1 species
UACGGAGGGUGCGAGCGUUGUCCGGAUUUAUUGGGUUUAAAGGGUACGUAGGCGGCCCUGUCAGUCAUUGUUUAAAGUUACCUGCUUAACGGGUAGAUGGCAAUGAUACUGCAGGGCUUGAGUAUUGCAGAGGUAGGCGGAAUUCCGCAUGUAGCGGUGAAAUGCAUAGAUAUGCGGAGGAACACCGAUAGCGAAGGCAGCUUACUGGGCAAUAACUGACGCUGAGGUACGAAAGCGUGGGGAGCGAACAGG